rnacentral:rRNA from 1 species
GUGGGGAAUUUUGGACAAUGGGCGAAAGCCUGAUCCAGCCAUGCCGCGUGCAGGAUGAAGGCCUUCGGGUUGUAAACUGCUUUUGUACGGAACGAAAAGACUUCUUCUAAUACAGGAGGUCCAUGACGGUACCGUAAGAAUAAGCACCGGCUAACUACGUGCCAGCAGCCGCGGUAAUACGUAGGGUGCAAGCGUUAAUCGGAAUUACUGGGCGUAAAGCGUGCGCAGGCGGUUAUAUAAGACAGAUGUGAAAUCCCCGGGCUCAACCUGGGAACUGCAUUUGUGACUGUAUAGCUAGAGUACGGUAGAGGGUGAUGGAAUUCCGCGUGUAGCAGUGAAAUGCGUAGAUAUGCGGAGGAACACCGAUGGCGAAGGCAAUCCCCUGGACCUGUACUGACGCUCAUGCACGAAAGCGUGGGGAGCAAACAGGAUUAGAUACCCGUGUAGUCC